GACGAACGCUGGCGGCGUGCCUAAUACAUGCAAGUUGAGCGAUGAAGAUUGGUGCUUGCACCAAUUUGAAGAGCAGCGAACGGGUGAGUAACGCGUGGGGAAUCUGCCUUUGAGCGGGGGACAACAUUUGGAAACGAAUGCUAAUACCGCAUAACAACUUUAAACAUAAGUUUUAAGUUUGAAAGAUGCAAUUGCAUCACUCAAGGAUGAUCCCGCGUUGUAUUAGCUAGUUGGUGAGGUAAAGGCUCACCAGGGCGAUGAUACAUAGCCGACCUGAGAGGGUGAUCGGCCACAUUGGGACUGAGACACGGCCCAAACUCCUACGGGAGGCAGCAGUAGGGAAUCUUCGGCAAUGGACGAAAGUCUGACCGAGCAACGCCGCGUGAGUGAAGAAGGUUUUCGGAUCGUAAAACUCUGUUGGUAGAGAAGAACGUUGGUGAGAGUGGAAAGCUCAUCAAGUGACGGUAACUACCCAGAAAGGGACGGCUAACUACGUG
rnacentral:rRNA from 1 species